rnacentral:rRNA from 1 species
GAUUAACGCUGGCGGCGUGCAUAACACAUGCAAGUCGAACGAUGAAACUUAACUGAUUUCUUCGGAAUGAUUUUCAGUGGAUUAGUGGCGGACGGGUGAGUAACGCGUGAGUAACCUGCCUUGGAGAAGGGGAUAGCCUUUGGACACGAAGAAUAAUACCCUAUGAUAUGAUAAUAUCUCAUGAUAUUAUCAUCAAAGAUUUAUCGCUCUCAGAUGGACUUGCGUCUGAUUAGUUAGUUGGUGAGGUAACAGCUCACCAAGACAGCGAUCAGUAGCCGGCUGGAGAGAGGGUACGGCGGCAUUGAGACUAGGACACGACCCAGACUGCUACGGGAAGCAGCAAAUAGGAAUUAUGCACAAUGGGGGAAACCCAGAAACAGCGACGCCGGGUGAAUGAGAAGGCCUUCGGGUAGUAAAAAUCUUUUGUAUGGGAAGAAAGUGACGGUACCAUACAAAUAAGGACCGGCUAAUUACGUG